rnacentral:rRNA from 1 species
CACGUAGGGUGCGAGCGUUGUCCGGAAUUAUUGGGCGUAAAGAGCUCGUAGGCGGUGUGUCGCGUCGGCCGUGAAAACCUGCAGCUUAACUGUGGGCUUGCGGUCGAUACGGGCAUCACUGGAGUUCGGCAGGGGAGACUGGAAUUCUGGUGUAGCGGUGAAAUGCGCAGAUAUCAGGAGGAACACCGGUGGCGAAGGCGGUUCUCUGGGCGAUGUCCUGACGGCUGAGGAGCGAAAGUGUGGGGAGCGAACAGG